rnacentral:rRNA from 1 species
GGAAGCAGAUGCUAAUACCGGAUAACAACAGAUGAUGCCUAUCAACUGUUUAAAAGAUGGUUCUGCUAUCACUCUUGGAUGGACCUGCGGUGCAUUAGCUAGUUGGUAGGGUAACGGCCUACCAAGGCGAUGAUGCAUAGCCGAGUUGAGAGACUGAUCGGCCACAUUGGGACUGAGACACGGCCCAAACUCCUACGGGAGGCAGCAGCA